rnacentral:lncRNA from 1 species
CAGCUCUGAUUCAUUCACUGAAGUGAAUGAGGCAUGGCUUUCAUGAUGAAAUAGAGUACCUUGCUGCUCUUGUUAGACCUUGCCACUCCUACAAGGAACUUGUGUAUCUAUAUCCUUAAAUAUAUUCAUCAUUUGCAC